rnacentral:misc_RNA from 1 species
AUUCAAUGUUGGCACCAUGAAGCUCCCUAUUGACCUCCCCGGAUUCGCCUUUCGAAACGCCAGGCUCGCCGUUGACCGUCUCGCCCAAACUCUAGCCGGAUGCACUGCGCAGAGCAAAACUAGAAUGGCGAACAACGAGGAGCCGACUUGCUUAGUGGAUUUCUGGAUGCAAGAAACGGUCAGGGAAAUCUCCACCGCGAAAGAAGCCGGCGAACCUACACCGCCUUAUACCAGCGAUGCCGAGAUCGGUGGCUACCUGUUCGAUUUCCUCUUCGCUGCUCAGGAUGCUUCCACUUCUUCGCUUUUAUGGGCAGUGGCCUUGCUGGACUCGCAUCCCGAUGUCUUAUCUAGAGUUCGAGAAGAA